AGCAGCCGCGGUAAUUCCAGCUCCAAUAGCGUAUAUUAAAGUUGUUGCAGUUAAAAAGCUCGUAGUUGAAUUUCGGGGUUAGUAGGUUGGUCAUGCCUCUGGUAUGUACUGGUCUCACUGAUUCCUCCUUCCUGAUGAGCCGUAAUGCCAUUAAUUUGGUGUUGCGGGGAAUUUGGACUGUUACUUUGAAAAAUUAGAGUGUUUAAAGCAAGCUAACGCUUGAAUACAUUAGCAUGGAAUAAUGAAAUAGGACGUUCGAUCCUAUUUUGUUGGUUUCUAGGAUUGACGUAAUGAUUAAUAGGGAUAGUUGGGGGCAUUAGUAUUCAAUUGUCAGAGGUGAAAUUCUUGGAUUUAUUGAAGACUAACUACUGCGAAAGCAUUUGCCAAGGAUGUUUUCAUUAAUCAAGAACGAAAGUUAGGGGAUCGAAGACGAUCAGAUACCGUCGUAGUCUUAACCAUAAACUAUGCCGACUAGGGAUCGGAUGAUGUAAUUUUUAAUGACUCAUUCGGCGCCUUAAC
rnacentral:rRNA from 1 species